ensembl:lncRNA
ACCACGCUGAGUCACACAUUGGCCACACUGAGCCAUAAAUUGGGUGAGGUGACCGCACUGAGCUCCAUGAUGGCCACAUGGAGCUGUGUGUUGGCCACAGGGGCUGUAUAAAGCCACACGUUGGCCGUGAUGAGCCUCACAAUGGCCAUGUUGGCCACCCUGAACCACACACCGGCCAUGUUGAGUCACAAAUUAGCCACACUGAGCCUAAACUGGGUGGGUUGACCACACUGAGCUCCAUGUUGGCCACAUGUAGUGGUGUGUUGACCACAGUGGCCAUAUAAAGCCACACGUUGGCCGUGAUGAGCCACACGUUGGCCACAUAGGCCACGUUGAGCCACAGAUUGAGUGAGUUGACCGCACUGAGCUCUGUGUUGGUCACAUGGAGCUCAGUGUUGGCCACAGUGGCUGUUUAAAGCCACACGUUGGCCGUGAUGAGCCACACGUUGGCCACGUUGGCCACUCUGAACCACACAUUGGCCACACUGAGUCACACAUUGGCCACAUGCAGUCAUAAAUUGGGUGAGGUGACCGCACUGAGCUCUGUGUUGGCCACAUGGAGCUGUGUGUUGGCCACAGUGGCCAUAUAAAGCCACACAUUGGCCAUGAUGAGCCCCACAUUGACCACCCUGAACCACACAUUGGCCACGCUGAGUCACAGAUUGAGUGAGUUGACCACUCUGAGCUCUGUGUUGGCCACACGGAGCCACGCGUUGGCCAUGUUGGUCACACCAGGCCACGUGAGGGCCACACUGAGCCACUGAUAGCUCAAGUUGACCACUCUGAGCUCCACGUUGACCACACCAGGCCACGUGAUGGCCACGUAGGCCAUGCUGAGUCACAAAUAGCUCAAGUUGACCACUCUGAGCUCCAUGUUGACCACAUGGAGCCACGCGUUGGCCAUG